rnacentral:sRNA from 1 species
UCAACCUACCAUGGUUGUGUUCUUUAAUUCUUCCUAAUUACCUUUAGCCCAGCAGAAUUAAUUAACUCCUGUGGGUCUGAAAUCUUAUGGUUAGGUCAGAUUUUCAAUACAAGUUUGUCGGGGUAUCAUUUUUUCAGAACUAAAUUUCGGGUAGGUAUGCAACCUCAGCACGAAUUUUAUGGUUUUGAGUUUGUUUCCUCCAUGCUGCUUCCUUGUGGAGUGAUAUUGUCUUUUGUCUCUAGUUCUCCCGAAGAUGACUCGGAUACAAAAAGGCUUUCCAAAGAGGAAAAGGGUCGCAGCAGUUGUGGUAGAAAUUUCUGGGUUAGUGGACUCUCUUCUACAACCAGAGCUACAGAUUUGAAGAAUCUUUUCAGCAAAUAUGGGAAGGUGGUGGGCGCCAAGGUUGUGACAAAUGCCCGGAGUCCUGGAGCUCGCUGUUACGGUUUUGUCACGAUGUCCACAGCAGAAGAGGCCACAAAAUGCAUUAACCACCUGCACAAGACGGAGCUCCACGGAAAGAUGAUCUCCGUGGAGAAAGUGAGUGGCCGUUUUCUUCCCAGGAUAUAGCCCACAUUAGGAAAUGAGGGUAAUACUUGAUUCUCUUUUUCAGGCCAAAAAUGAACCUGUGGGAAAGAAAACCUCUGACAAAAGAGACAGUGACGGGAAAAAGGAGAAGUCGAGCAACAGUGAGAG